CGUAGGUGGCAAGCGUUGUCCGGAUUUAUUGGGUUUAAAGGGUGCGUAGGCGGUUUUCUAAGUCAGCAGUGAAAUACGGCAGCUCAACUGUCGAGGUGCUGUUGAUACUGGGGAACUUGAGUACUGAUGAGGUAGGCGGAAUGGACGGUGUAGCGGUGAAAUGCUUAGAGAUCGUCCAGAACACCGAUAGCGAAGGCAGCUUACUAAGGAGUAACUGACGCUGAGGCACGAAAGUGUGGGGGAUCAAACAGGAUUAGAUACCCUGGUAGUCCACACUGUAAACGAUGAUUACUCGAUGUGUGCGACACACGGCACGCGUCUUAGCAAAAGCGAUAAGUAAUCCACCUGGGGAGUACGCCGGCAACGGUG
rnacentral:rRNA from 1 species